rnacentral:rRNA from 1 species
AUUGAACGCUGGCGGCAGGCCUAACACAUGCAAGUCGAGCGGAGCGGCGGACGGGUGAGUAAUGCCUAGGAAUCUGCCUGGUAGUGGGGGAUAACGUCCGGAAACGGGCGCUAAUACCGCAUACUAUCAGAUGAGCCUAGGUCGGAUUAGCUAGUUGGUGGGGUAAAGGCCUACCAAGGCGACGAUCCGUAACUGGUCUGAGAGGAUGAUCAGUCAACCUUGAACUUAGACACCGUCCCGACUCCUACGGGAGGGCGCAGUGGGGAAUAUUUGAACAUGGGGUGAAGCCUUGUCCCGCCAUGCCCCGGUUGUGAAAGAGGUUUUCGGAUUUUAAAGCCCCUUAAUUUGGGAGGCGUUACCAACAGAAUAAGCACCGGCUAACUUCGUGCCAGCCGCCGCGGUAAUAC